rnacentral:rRNA from 1 species
ACUCCUACGGGAGGCAGCAGUGGGGAAUAUUGCACAAUGGGCGGAAGCCUGAUGCAGCGACGCCGCGUGAGGGAUGACGGCCUUCGGGUUGUAAACCUCUUUCAGUAGGGAAGAAGCCGCGAGGUGACGGUACCUGCAGAAGAAGCGCCGGCUAACUACGUGCCAGCAGCCGCGGUAAU